rfam:Triticum aestivum genome assembly, contig: Triticum_aestivum_CS42_TGACv1_scaffold_158031_2DL
AAUAUACUCCCUCCGUUCGGAAAUACUCGUCAUUGAAAUGGAUGUAUCUAGACGUAUUUCAGUUCUAGAUACAUCCAUUGUGGUGACAAGUAAUUCCGAACGGAGGGAGUACAAG